rnacentral:lncRNA from 1 species
AGCAAAGCUCCCCCUCCUUGUUUUAUAUCUGCUGAAAGUGCAGGACUGGGAGGCAAGCAUCUUCCUCCUCAACAAAAGGUAUUAUUUACCUUUGAUCCAACCUGGACUACAGAAAAAACAGCAAAUGCAAAAUGUUCCAUGAAGUCUUCAAGACCUAAAUGGGAGGAACCAGUUCAUCAAAAGGAGUAGAUAGGUAUCGAUCUUUGCAUGUGCAAGAGUGAAGGCGAGAUUUUAAAAAAAUAAGCUGCAUUUUUAUACCAGAAAUCUGAAUCUGUUUUGUUUAGCACACCCCCCUUCCCUCCUCAAUGAACAGAAAUUAAAAUCUUUACAGUA